GUGGGGCUGGGGGGCGUGGGGAGUGUCGCGGGCUCCUGACCUGUUGCUGCGGGGACGGAGCUGGCAGUGAGGCGCGUGUAGGCCAGGCCCCAUCCACUCGCGGGACCUCGGUUUAUCUCUGUGCACCAGAGAGGACUAGGUUCAGUGGUGAGGGCGUGGGUCGGAAGAAUCCCAGAGGCAGAGAGAUUCACCUUUGGGACUUAGCGGGCCAAUCAUAUCUUCUCCCUAGGCUUGCUUUGUAGUUAUCGAUUAAACCCUGCCUGCAUUCCAAAAGA
rnacentral:lncRNA from 1 species